rnacentral:misc_RNA from 1 species
UUUCCGUAGGUGAACCUGCGGAAGGAUCAUUAUUGAAUGAAACACUUCUGGCUUUAUGCUGUUGUGCUGGCCCUUUGGGCAACGUGCACACGGCUCUGGUCACUUGUUUCUUCUGUUCCACCUGUGCACUGCCUGUAGACACGCUGUGUCUAUGAUAUUUGUUAACACACAACAAUGUUAGUUGGCAUGUUAUAUAUAAUAAUAAAAUAUACAACUUUCAACAACGGAUCUCUUGGCUCUCGCAUCGAUGGAGAACGCAGC